GACAGAGGGUGCAAACGUUGUUCGGAAUUACUGGGCGUAAAGCGAGUGUAGGCGGUCUGCUAAGUCGGGUGUGAAAGCCCUGGGCUCAACCCAGGAAGUGCACUCGAAACUGGCAGGCUAGAGUACUGGAGAGGUUGGUGGAAUUCCCGGUGUAGCGGUGGAAUGCGUAGAGAUCGGGAAGAACAUCAGUGGCGAAGGCGGCCUGGCUGGGCUGUU
rnacentral:rRNA from 1 species